GUGGGGAAUAUUGGACAAUGGGCGAAAGCCUGAUCCAGCCAUGCCGCGUGUGUGAAGAAGGUCUUCGGAUUGUAAAGCACUUUAAGUUGGGAGGAAGGGCAGUAAGUUAAUACCUUGCUGUUUUGACGUUACCAACAGAAUAACCACCGGCUAACUUCGUGCCAGCAGCCGCGGUAAUACGAAGGGUGCAAGCGUUAAUCGGAAUUACUGGGCGUAAAGCGCGCGUAGGUGGUUUUGUAAGUUGGAGGUGAAAUCCCCGGGCUCAACCUGGGAACUGCAUCCAAAACUGCAUGACUAGAGUACGGUAGAGGGUAGUGGAAUUUCCUGUGUAGCGGUGAAAUGCGUAGAUAUAGGAAGGAACACCAGUGGCGAAGGCGACUACCUGGACUGAUACUGACACUGAGGUGCGAAAGCGUGGGGAGCAAACAGGAUUAGAAACCCUAGUAGUCC
rnacentral:rRNA from 1 species